AAAGAAAACACUGAUGAUAACGGUUGUCAUACCAUCGACUUGGUUUUUACAUUACCGGAUGGCAUUCAGACGGUGGUUCGAGCAAUACACUAGAUACACACAGACAUUGCAAGCGGAACUGGCAGCCAAAGGUAUCGCAGAGGCGAAUAUAGAUCAGACAGAGAAGCUUGAAAAGACGUUAACUGUCGAUGGUUCAUCUUUGCUCGAAGCUGCACUGAGUUCUUAAACGUGCGGACAGUGGAGUCGAUAGUGGAAUCACAGAGGCGAAUGUAUAUCCUAAACGUAUUUCAAAACAUAAGCAGCAAAGUUUAAUAAAGCUUCAAAAUAAUUUAAGUUUAACAUGCAGUUGUAAAACACUAAGUGCAAAGGAGUAGAUGUGUAAGGUUACAAGAGAUCUGUAAUGGUUUGCUUUAAUGUAUAUAGGUAUAUUCAAAAUGAGUGUUCUACUAUGUGUUAAUCGAACGUGUAUAAGCUUAUGCAAUACUACUAAUUAAUAACUUUCUUUUAAUUAGCAAGUCAAUAUUCUGUCAAUGACUUAUCUGACGUAUAUGUAUUCCUUAAAUAUUUUUAUAGUUUAAGUUAAUUUAUCAUAUCUUUGUGUAAGGACGUUACCUAAAUAUCCAAUGACAGUGUCAAGUCGGUUACACAAAUGUUUACCAAUGACUGUAUUGUGAUAUGUGUGUACUAUUGGUUGACGUUUAGCGUUAUACAUAGUUUGCUUAAAAAGUUGAACCUUUAGACACGGUAUUGGUUACAUGGUGAACUACUGGGCUUGUCCUCAAGUGUCCAUUUUAUUUGUGAAAUUUAGAGGUAUCGGUAAUCACUUUAAUACGUAGUUUACUGCGGUCGAGGACAGCAGUCAGUUUGCUAAAAGACAAGAUAAAAAUAAAAAUAUAAACAACUUUAAAUAGCAUGUACGUAAUAAUUGUGUAUACUUUGUAUCUUUUCUUGUCUUGUGAACCGUGAUUUAGGUAACGCUUUGAGGUGAUGGUCCGUACUGUCCUUACAUCACAUAUUAUCGUACAGUUGUACAUGUAUUAUAAAUGUGCCAGUAUAUGAAUUAUUAACAAUGAUUUGUAUUAAAUUUGUAUAAUUGUAUUUCUACAUUG